AUGAGGAGUUUGCUGCUGCUUCUCCUCAGCAGGAGCCUAUAGAAAUGCCUGAACCCCCACAAAGUUAAACUGCCACUGGGGAAGAGCCUCUUUCAACAGACCCUGCAGACUGGCUAUCACCUCUGACAGACUGCACCACAGAGGCUAUUCGCCCAGGGUGCCAUUCAGGCUGGGGCUGCCACUGAGUUUCAGAAAAAAGGAAAAACAGUAAAAUUUUGUGACUGAAGUCAACAAAACUUUACAGACAUGAGGACUUUUCAUCAUCCUUGAAUAAGCCUGUUUGGUUAUCAUUUUAAGCCAUUUUGGUUGAUAAUUUUCAGGGUAUGAUUACUGAGAAAAGAGAACUCACCAUGCAGUCCAAAUGCCAUCCACCAAAUGACUUUCUACUUCCUGUGUAAACAGGAAGUACAAUUAAAGAUCCAAAAAUAAUGAAUAAAAUAACUUUUAAUUUUUUUUAAUUUUGUUCAGCCACCUUGCGCUGUUUUCAAUUUACUCAUACAAGUUAUAGUUUCAAUUCUACAUACUCUCAAAACAGUAAAUAAGCCUACACUGGAAUCAGCUUUUAAUCAACAAGUCUGUGAUAAUCCUGAUGUUAAAACAAACAAAAAAAUCCCCAGAAAAAAAACAGAAUGGUUGAUUAGCAAAAGCCCCUAAAAAUGUCUUGAAAAAAUGUCUUGAAGUGAUAUAUCUUUCUCCGGCUUCCUCCCACAAUCCCCAAAACAUGCACAUCAGGUUAAUUGGCUACUCUACAUUGCCCCUAGGUGUGAGUGUGUGAGCAUAUGGUUGUCUGUCUUUGUGUCAGCCCUGCGAUCGACUGGCAACCAGUCCAGGGUGUACCCCGCAUCUCGCCCGUAGUCAGCUGGGAUAUGGUCCAGCCCCCCCACAACCCUGACGGAUAAGCAGCAUAGAUAAUGGAUGGAUGGAUGAUAUUCCUGUUCAGCUUUGACCUCACUGGAUGCGUCUCUCCUCUCUCUCAGCUGGCGUGGUGAGCCUGUGACAGUGUGUACACAGUAACAUCUAGAUUGCUAUGGCCAUCAUUAGGGGGAUCUACUUGCUGUUGGACAUAAAAAGUAGCAGAAAGCGAUGCUAACGGACCUCGGUGCAAGUGCGUUGAUCCUGACUGCAUCACUGUCGUGCCAAAGAAUAAAAAUCAAGAACCAUGUAGAACUGUUUGUACCUCACACAAACAGUGACCUCUGUGAUCUCUGCAAAUGCAUAUAAAGGUGCAAGUGUGUGGCACAGCGCGUAGGCCGCCACCACAUCCAAGUCACAUUAAUGUGUUUGUCUUUUUCUGGAGGCUUUUCAUCAAGUGUCAAAGUGAAUGAUCCUGGCUUAAUGUGCAGUCUCUUGCUGCCAUCUAGUGGCCCUGGCAUGAAAACUAAUUUCAGCUUCCUCCUCUCAAAAAUGACUGUUCUGGAGACAUCAGCAAGAUAUGACUGCCAGUGUUAGGCAUAGGCAGAGUAUUAUUUUUGCACUUCAAUAUUUAAACAAUGUUGAAUGACAAUAGCCACAGUUAUAAUCGUGAUUACUGUAAUAAUAAAAAACACAAUUCAAACUAUAUGUUUUUAUUUUUUAAUUUUUCUUUCCACUGUCCUCAUUCCCGCUCCUCCCUUUCUCCCUCAUCCAUGUCAUCAGCAUCCAUUUGUUUUAAAGGCAAAGAUAAUAAUAAUUGUGUGACCAUAUGUGCUGACAAAAAUGCCCUGUUUGGCUUCUGCACCCUGAUCUAUAGCAUCAAGCACCUCCUUCAGCAGCUCCAACCUCCACCUCUACUUCACAGGGAGUCUGAAGACCUCCAUGCUGGGGCCUGGACCAUCUACAAUGGUGUUCUUCUGGCCAAAGGCUUUCUAUUCUGUGUUUAAAAACAAAGGAUAACAGAAGUUUGUUUUAAUGUUGUUAUAAGCAGAUGCACAUCUCUGAGGGGUCCUAAUGCAAGGAGCAAUGAUGUUCUUAUUGGUGUAUCCAGCUCUGGAACAACUUAAGAGACCACUGCAAAAUUAUCAGUUUCACUAGUUUUACUAUUUAUGGUAUUUAGGUAUGUGUAAAUUGAAAAUUUUUGAUUUUUGUGUUAUUCUAUAAACUACUAACAAUAUUUCCAAAUUCCAAAUAAAAGUAUUGUCAUUUAGAGCAAUUAUUUGCUGAAAAUGACAACUGGUCAAAAAAAAAAAAAGAUACAAUGUUUUUAGACCUCAAAUAAUGCAAAGAAAACAAAUUCAUAUUCUUUUUUUAAACAACACAAUACUAACGUUUUAACUUAGAAAGAGUUCAAAAAUCAAUAUUCAGUGGAACAACCCUGAUUUUCAAUCACAGCUUUCAUGUGUCUUGGCAUGCACUCCACCAGUCUUUCACAUUGCUGUUGGGUGACUUUAUGCCACUCCUGGCGCAGAAAUUCAAGCAGCUCAGCUUUGUUUGAUGGCUUGGUAAUAUCCAUCUUCCUUUUAACCACAUCCCAGAGGUUUUCAAUGGGGUUCCGGUCUGGAGAUUGAACUGGCCAUAUAAGGGUCUUGAUCUGGUGGUCCUUCAUCCACAUCUUGAUUGACCCGGCUGUGUGGCAUGGAACACUGUCCAAUCCUCAGAGUUAGGGAACAUUAACAAAGCAAAAGGAAGCAAGUUUUUUUCCAGGAUAACCUUGUACUUGGCUUGAUUCAUGUGUCCUUCACAAAGACACAUCUGCCUGAUUCCAGCCUUGCUGAAGCACCCCCAGAUCAUCGCUGAUCCUCCACCAAAUUUCCCAGUCAAUGCAAGACACUGUGGCUUAUAGCCCUCUCCAGGUCUCCAUCUAACAUCUAACCAUUAGACAACCAGGUGUUGGGCAAAGCCGAACAUUGGACUCAUCAGAGAAGAUGACCUUACACCAGUCCUCUAUGGGACAAUCCUUAUGGUCUUUUGCAAACCUCAGCCUGGCUCUUCUUUGCUUCUCAUCAAGAGAAGCUUUUUUCUAGCUUUGCAAGACUUCAGCCCUGCCCCUAGGAGCCUCUUUUCAACCAUUUUUGCCGUGCAUUUCACCCCAGCUGCCAUUUGUGAUUAUUUUUGUCGUUUUCAUCCUCUGCUGGUCUGUAGCUUUGUUGUCCCCAAUGUCUGCUGCUUGAGCAUGUUCUUAUGAACCACUGCCUUUGAAAUUUUAAGGAUGGAAGCAGCCUGACACUCACUGUAUCCCUCUGCCAGUAAAGCCAGAAUUUAACCCUUCUUUUCCUCUCUCAAAACCUUUCUGUGUUGAAAUUCAAGAAACACUUGAAUGGAAUGCCUGCCAUACAUGUAGAGAUACUGAUUUAAGAAAAAUUUGGAGUGGUAUUAGUGGUAUUACUUAAUAUUUUCCGGAGCUGUAUGUAUCAGAAUAAAAUGCUGUAUUAGGGCAUCUGCCACACACUCCCAAGUCCAUAACACUUUCAGUUCCCGAGAUAUAGGCCAAAAUGUCUUUCCGGUAGAAAGGAAGGGGCUGAGGGGCUGUGUGUGAAAAUUUGUCGCAGGGUGGCAGCCAAAACGUUUUCCCCAGAAAAUGUUUAAGAGCAUGUUUCUCCAUUUGGAGUGGAUUGAUACCACUUUUGGAGGACUGUUCCCUAACCCUUAACACUUAAUUUUACUGUAAAACUGUAACUAGUUCUUUUCAGUUUAAGGCAGGAAUAAGCUCUGUUGGGUGGAGACUCCCCAGGAUCAUAGAGACAGGUACCCAAUCAAAGGUAAGUAAUCAAAGGUCAGUAAAAGUAUGUUAAUCGUUUAUGCUUAAGGUACACUGAUCAGGUGUAACACCGUGACCACUGACGGGUGAAAUGAAUAACACUGAUAAUCUCUUCCUCAUGGCACCUGUUAGUGGGUGGGAUAUAUUAGGCAGCAAGUGAACAUGUUGUCCUCAAAUCAGGAAAAAUGGGCAAGCGUAAGGAUUUGAGCGAGUUUGAAAAGGGCCAAAUUGUGAUGGCUAGAUGACUGGGUUAGAGCAUCUCCAAAACUGACGGGGCUAUUCCCUUUCUGCGGUGGUCUGUAUCUAUCAAAAGUAAUCUAAGGAAGGAACAGUGGUGAACCGGCGAUAGGGUCAUGGCCGGCCAAGGCUCACUGAUUCACAUGCAGAACGCAAGGCUGCCCUCUGCCCUGUGUCAUCCAAUCCAACAGACAAGCUACUGUGGCUCAAAUUGCUUAAGAAGUUUGCUUUGUCAGUGCCAGUGUGCUCUGGCCCAUGCUCUGCUGCGAUAGCACAGUCUGUAUUCGCGUCUUGCAAUACUGACUGAGAAAGCAAAUUGCCCGUGGGGGACAAUAAAGCAUCAACUGAAUUGAAUUGAAUUGAAUUAAUGCUGGUUCUGAUGGAAAGGUGUCAGAAUUCAUGCAUCACAGUUUGUUGCAUAUGGAGCUGCAUAAAUAUUUGUGUAAGUUUUAGUUUGAAUGUAUGUAACCAUUUUUUUAUCAGGUGUAGCUCACCUCCUGCCACCCCACCGACACCCCCAGCCUCACACACACCCACACUGUCCCAAAUGGCUUGAGCCAACCCCCAGCAUUCUCCUGUACAGCACCUCUCCAUCUGCCCCUCCUCUUUCUCCCCCACCUCCUCCUCCUCCACGGAAGACAUCAUCAGCCCAACGGUGACUACAGGCCAGGUUAGGAGGCAGCUGGAUGGCAUCACACCCAGGAUCCUGGAGACCUGUAACAGCCAGCUGUCUCGACACUAUGGAAGACGUCCUGCCUGGUUCCAGUCCCCAAGAAGUCGAUGCCAUCUGACUCGGCAGACUACAGACCAGUCGCCCUCACAUCUCAUGUGAUGAAGGUCCUGGAGAGACUGGUCUUAGCCCAGCUGAGGCCACAGACUGGACUGGACAUCUAACACCGAGGCUGUGUACAAGAAGGUGAUGAGCAGGCUCUGUUUCCUGAGGAAAUCCUUCAACGUGUACGGCAAGUUGUCGGAGAUCUUCUACCAGUCUGUUGUUGCCAGCGCCAUUUUCUUUGCUGUGGUGUGUUGGGGCAGCAGCAUCAGAGCCAGCGACACUAAAAGACUUGAUAAGAUCAUUAAGAAGGCUGGCUCUGUACUCGGUCUCAGGCUGGAGUCUUUUGAGACCGUGGUGGAGAGGAGGUCACUGAACAAACUGUUAUCCAUCAUGGACAACGAUCAGCACCCUCUCCAUCAUACAGUUGACAGACAGCGGAGCACCUUCUCCCACAGGCUGCUGCAGCUCCGCUGUCAAAGGGACAGAUACAGGAAAUCUUUCCUGCCACAUGCCAUCACACUGUGCAAUAACAGCUAAACUCUGGUCAUAC